rnacentral:rRNA from 1 species
GGCCGGCUGGAGGCAGGCAGGGGAGAACGGAAUUCCCGGUGUAGCGGUGAAAUGCGCAGAUAUCGGGAGGAACACCGGUGGCGAAGGCGGUUCUCUGGGCCUGUUCUGACGCUGAGGAGCGAAAGCGUGGGGAGCGAACAGGAUUAGAUACCCUGGUAGUCCACGCCGUAAACGUUGGGCGCUAGGUGUGGGUCCCUUCCACGGGGUCUGUGCCGCAGCUAACGCAUUAAGCGCCCCGCCUGGGGAGUACGGCCGCAAGGCUAAAACUCAAAGGAAUUGACGG